UACGUAGGGGGCUAGCGUUGUCCGGAUUUAUUGGGCGUAAAGAGCUCGUAGGCGGUUUGGUAAGUCUGGUGUGAAAUCUCCACGCUCAACGUGGAGGGGCCACCCGAUACUGCCAUGACUGGAGUCCGGUAGAGGAGUGUGGAAUUCCCGGUGUAGCGGUGAAAUGCGCAGAUAUCGGAAGGAACGCCGGUGGCGAAAGCGGCGUGCUGGACCUUUUCUGACGCUGAGGCGCGAAAGCCAGGGGAGCAAACGGG
rnacentral:rRNA from 1 species